CACAGAGAGGAAGCUGCUCCAGACAACAUGUGAGGAUACUUACAGACAGGAAUCUUCAGUUUCAAUAACAUCCAGAAGGAAGAAAUGGUCACAGAAAGAGAAAAAUCUGAGAUGAAGGUGCCCUUUAAGACUGCUGCUGUGGAGAAAACUGUUGGAGUUCUCAUCGACAGGACAGCAACACCAAAUCAAUGGGUUAGCAGCAGUUAAGCCGAUGUGUGGCGUUAUCCGCAAGAUGCAGCCGGGAGUCACAGAUAAUGCCCCCCACUUAUCUCCACAAUUUCAGCAAAUGGUUUCAUCAUUUCUUCCCCCGCUGUCGGCGCCUCUGUUCUGACCCUGUCGCUGUGACGGAGGAAUAGCCAAGUUACAUAAAAUCAUCCCUGUUCAAGAUGAAGCGGAGCCUGUCUCAGAAGAACUGGGUAAAGGGUAGAAGGCUGAAAGGGGGUACACCCUGGAUGAGAUGCCAGUUCAUCACAGGGUGUUAAUUUUUAAAAUAUCUUUAAUUUUCCCAGUGCAUGUGCAUUUCAUGUUAAUUUUUUGGUCCUGAACCAAGAACCUGAGGGAAACACAAGUGAAUAAAAAAUUUGAACGGGGCAUUAUCAAAAAAGAAACAAAAUGUGCAUUAUUCCCCUAAGUUUAACCCUUUAGAGAGUCUACAGUCCACAG